GACAGAGGGUGCUAGCGUUGUUCGGAAUUACUGGGCGUAAAGGCGCGUAGGCGGCUCGUUUAGUCGGGUGUGAAAUCCCGGGGCUCAACCCGGAACUGCAUUCGAUACUGGCGGGCUAGAGACCGGAAGAGGUGGGUGGGAAUGACCCGAGUGUAGAGGUGAAAUUGUAGAUAUUGGGUGGAACACCGGUGGCGAAGGCGGCU
rnacentral:rRNA from 1 species